rnacentral:rRNA from 1 species
CCAAUAGCGUAUAUUAAAGUUGUUGCAGUUAAAAAGCUCGUAGUUGAACUUCGGGGUUUACUUAUUGGUCAGGCUUAAUUGUCUGUACUGGUGAGAUGAAUCUCUACCUUCUGAGGAACUUUCAUGUCGUUUAUUUGGUGUGAUGGGAAAUCAGGACUGUUACUUUGAAAAAAUUAGAGUGUUUAAAGCAGGCUAACGUCUGAAUACAUUAGCAUGGAAUAAUGAAAUAGGACGGACUGAUUCUAUUUCGUUGGUUUCUAGGAUCACCGUAAUGAUUAAUAGGGAUAGUUGGGGGCAUUAGUAUUCAAUUGUCAGAGGUGAAAUUCUGGGAUUUAUUGAAGACUAACUACUGCGAAAGCAUUUGCCAAGGAUGUUUUCAUUAAUCAAGAACGAAAGUUAGGGGAUCGAAGACGAUCAGAUACCGUCGUAGUCUUAACCAUAAACUAUGCCGACUAGGGAUCGGACGAAGUUAAUUUUAUAAUGACGCGUUCGGCACCUUACGGGAAACCAAACACUUUGGGUUC